ACGGGGGGAGCAAGCGUUGUUCGGAUUUACUGGGCGUAAAGGGCGCGUAGGCGGCCACCGCAAGUCGACUGUGAAAUCUCCGGGCUUAACCCGGAAAGGUCAGCCGAUACUGCGGGGCUAGAGUGCAGAAGGGGCAACUGGAAUUCUCGGUGUAGCGGUGAAAUUCGUAGAUAUUCGCAGGAACACCAGUGGCGAAGGCGACUUGCUGGAUCUUUGCUGACGCUGAGACGCGAAAGCGUGGGGAGCAAACGGGA
rnacentral:rRNA from 1 species